GCGCCGAUGGUUCAGUGGUAAAAUGCUCGCCUGCCACGCGAGCGGCCCGCGUUCGAUUCCCGGCCAGCGCA
rnacentral:tRNA from 1 species